ensembl:lncRNA
CUUGGCCAUAAAUGAAAUCUGAGUUCCAACCAGUCUCUAUAAUGGUGACAAACAGGAUCUUCUUUAUGUCCAACCAUUCAGCUCCAUCUCCCCUCCGUUUCCUUCCCUGACUAUCAUUCCACACCUUGCAUGGACCGGAAACCUUCUAUGCCGAUCAGUCAGCCUACCGUCCCAAGGGAACAGAAUCGUACAGCCUGUGAACUCAGGCUGAAGAUCAGGUGUCGGUUGUGAGGUUUGUAGAGAAGCUGACCCUUACCUUUCAACCCGUGACAUCUCACCUGCCCUGACCUGCUUCAAACACCUUCCAAGGCCAUGUUCACCCAGAUACUAACUCUGACCCUCUG